rnacentral:misc_RNA from 1 species
UAAAAUCAUGUGAAAGCAAUCAGACGCUCAAUUUUUCACACUUUAAUUCAUGGUUAUUACAACUUUCACCUUUCAAAUUUCAAUAUUUAACAAAUGAAUAAAUUUUCAUACAAAUUUUUGGUUUUAGCAAUUUAAUAAAUUGAGUCACAUUUUAAAUACAAAAGGACAACAAAUUAGCAGAUCCCCAUGGUAACAGUGUUCUACACUUCUAGUAAAGUUGUCACUGCAGAUUAACAGAUCAAAUUGACAUCAUUCAUAAGAGAACUAGCACAAAUUCACCAAAUCAAAUAGAGAAAGAACUAACAGUAACAGUUAUUCAUGCUACAUAUACAUGCCUG